rnacentral:rRNA from 1 species
GAUGAACGCUGGCGGCGUGCCUAAUACAUGCAAGUCGAGCGAACGGACGAGAAGCUUGCUUCUCUGAUGUUAGCGGCGGACGGGUGAGUAACACGUGGAUAACCUACCUAUAAGACUGGGAUAACUUCGGGAAACCGGAGCUAAUACCGGAUAAUAUUUUGAACCGCAUGGUUCAAAAGUGAAAGACGGUCUUGCUGUCACUUAUAGAUGGAUCCGCGCUGCAUUAGCUAGUUGGUAAGGUAACGGCUUACCAAGGCAACGAUGCAUAGCCGACCUGAGAGGAUGAACUGCCACACUGGAACUGAGACACGGUCCAGACUCCUACAGGGGGCAGCAGUAGGGAAUCUUCCGCAAUGGGCGAAAGCCUGACGGAGCAACGCCGCGUGAGUGAUGAAGGUCUUCGGAUCGUAAAACUCUGUUAUUAGGGAAGAACAUAUGUGUAAGAAACUGUGCACAUCUUGACGGUACCUAAUCAGAAAGCCACGGCUAACUACGUG